UCGAGGAYGCGGUGKCUKSSUYSAGGGUASUGUCRCKUURCGGAKURUKRGUCRAURARGCCRUSAUCCCCCUCGACAGAGGUUUACGAUCCGARAACCUUCRUCCCUCACGCGGSGUCGCAUUGUCAGGCUUUCGCCCAUUGCAAAAGAUCCUCGACUGCAGCCUCCCGUAGGAGUCUGGGCAGUGUCUCAGUCCCAGUGUGGCUGACCAACCUCUCAGUCCAGCUAUCCGUCGUAGCCUUGGUAGGCCAUUACCCUACCAACUAGCUGAUAGAACGUGGGCUCAUCUUUGAGUGACAGGACCUUUCGGUUCCCCGCCUAUUCUCACAGCACCAUGCGAUGCCGUGGUCUUACCCGGAAUUAGCACCCGUUUCCAAGUGUUAUGCCGGUCUCGAAGGUAGAUUACCCGCGUGCUACUCACCCGUUUGCCGCUAAUCUAGAACAACUCUCGCAGCCUUGCGGCCACUCAAGUCAAACUAGAUCCGCUCGACUUGCAUGCCUAAACCACGCCGCCAGCGUUCACUCUGAGCCAGGAUCAAACUCUAAUCGAAUUCCCGCGGCCGCCAUGGCGGCCGGGAGCAUGCGACGUCGGGCCCAAUUCGCCCUAUAGUGAGUCGUAUACA
rnacentral:rRNA from 1 species